GGAGUAAAGCUAGCUGUGAGAAGUCAGCCGAUUUCGUAGUACUUGCUUACGGCAAAGCAAGGAAGGAA
rnacentral:ncRNA from 1 species